CAACAAAUCCUACGAAGAAAGGCUUUCCACCCUUAACAUGUUCUUUCUUGAGAAACGUUGCCUCCGAGGAAAACUGAUCGAAUGUUUUAAAAUACUUAAUGGUUUCAUGAAUGUAGACAGAUCAACAUUGUUUAUGAUCGAUGACACUUUGCGCACGAGGAACUAUGGCGUAAAACUCAGAUGUAGACAAGUAAAUUCAGACUGCACCAAAUUUUUCUUCACCAACGUUGUAGUGCGAGAAUGGAAUAAGCUUCCACCAUCAGUGGUCCAGUGUAACACGAUUGACUCCUUCAAAAAUAAGCUCGACCGUCACUUCCUUCAACUUAAUAUCAACUAGAGUAGAAAUGCAAUGUUUUGGAGUCUUCUGAUUAAUGUAAAAUCACUUAGGUUUAAGGACAGACCACCAAGUCUGGACCAUGGGGUCUGUGUGGUCUGAUUUUCUAUGUAAAUCUAUGUAAAUCUCUCUCUCUCUCUCUCUCUCUCUCUCUCUCUCUCUCUCUCUCUCUCUCUCUCUCUCUCAAGCUUGACUCUGAAUAAGAAAAAAAGUAAACAAAUUGAAUUAAAUAAAAAAAAUCCCUCUUGUGUCGCUUGUGCUUCCCAACAAACAAACAAACACAAAAAUACAUAAAUAAAAUAAAUAAAGUAAAUCCAUAAAGGUGUUCAUCUUAUUUUUGUUCUUCUUUUAAUAUAAUUUUUUCUCCUUUUUUAUUUGCUAUUUUUUUUCUUUUCAUGAAUUUAUUGCUAUCUCUAUUGUUUACACAGGAAGAAGAAGAAGAAGAAGAAGACACACAGAGAGAGAAGAGGAGGAAGAAGAAGAGGAAGGACUUGUAAUAUGGCAGACAUCAAACCAAUGGGCCCAGCGGUCCAGCCCUGUCAUACGAGAACUAGACGCGUUCAUAGCUUCAUCUCUCUCUCUAUCACUCAGUAUCCAGACUGCUCUACACUGUCCUACAUUAUGCUACAUACUUAAACAUACGGAUAAAAUUAUAAGUAGUUUCUUAACUUAAAGUCUGUAAGUUCUGUAACUUACUGAAAUAUUUGCCAAGGAAUGAGAGAGACGAUGUACACCCUGCCACAGAAUGAUGGUGACUGAGCGAGACGGAGAGUUGACAUCGCUUAUAUUCCAACACAGCUGAGCUGCAUUCAUUUACGUAAUUACGUGGUGUCACUCCAGGCUUAAGAUUAUUUAGAAAAAGUUUUUCAACAACUAUUAUUUUACUGAUAAACUGUAGAAACUUCUAUUAUAUAUAUACAUAUCAUGUUUAUGGUGUGUUUUGCAUAUUAGUAUUCUCUCUCUCUCUCUCUCUCUCUCUCUCUCUCUCUCUCUCUCUCUCUCUCUCUCUCUCUCUCUCUCUCUCUCU